CGUGAUCCCCAGAACCAAUCUCAUAACUGCAUUUCACAACAUGAGAAACAGAGUCUACUACAGGCACCAUUUCUUGUAAAUCAGCUGGUUUGCCGUUGGUAGAUUCCACACUCCCGACGGGAAUAAAAGCCAGGCUUUCUACAACAGGGUGCACACACUUUCAGUGAAGACCAGACCCAGAAAGCAAUCGUUGGCGUGCCGCCAGUGUUUUUGCUGCGGGCGGGCCACCGGCGGCUAUAAUGUCGUACAGCCAGCGGGCCACCAGCUUUUGCCGCUUUUCUCUUGAUUUCAAUUUGCAUCUCAGGCGGCUUUCCACCAGCGGCCCGACUGCGUUACGCUAGCGGCUAGCUGUCGAAAAGAGGGCAUGCGCUUUAGUCUGCUGUAUCUGCUUGUGUUGCCAUUUUCUUCCAGCAGAUGCUAUUGUACCCCUUUUAUUCUUGUAAUGAUUAUUUGAUUUAUUUUAAUAUUGUAAAAUCUUAGUGUACAGAAUUUUGGUCAACAAUUGGUAGUUUAUAAAUAAAAUAGACUUUGACUAUUGCAUUGCUUGUGUAAAGGACCUUAGACAUGUACAGUAAACACCUCUCGCCAUUGCUUGCCAUAAUAUUUUCACGAACUAAUGGCCAUUUUACAUUACAUGGUACCAGCUCAACUCGUCUAUAGCCUCGAUUUUAAUGCUUCAUGGGGGACAGUUCUUUACUGUGUUUAAACACCGCCGUGUCCGUAGAUGGCGUUUAAGUAGCGAAUUGCGCAUGUGUAAGGCAAGACCUUACACAUGCGCAGGACAGUCGCCAUUUGGAUCCCACGCUGUAGUACCGCGAAAACUAGAAAGAACAUUAAUUUUAGCGACUUGGUUCUCUUGUCAACUCUUGUUCAAAGUGUAUAAGCUAUAUGCUCUGAAUUGGACUAUACAACACGUGGAUUAUCACAUUGUUUUAUUACAAUUUUAUGAACUCCCGAAACAAACGAAGAUCAAGGAUUUUUUUGGACAUCAGACCGAAAAUUGUUGAACGCCGAGUCACAUACUUAGGUUCGGAUGUUUUGUGCUUCUUCGCCUAUCAACAGUUGAACAGGGCAAAAAGGCAGAGGUAGGGGGAAGUUUUAGCUCUGUACAGAACAUUUGGAGAAGAUCAAGUGGCUGACUGAAGAGAAGGUCAAGCUGAGGGCACAGCUGGCUCUACAAUCAGUUAAAAACAAGACUUUAGUUACGCUAGCAUCUUGUCUUAAUGAAACAGCAUUUGUUUGAACAUGAGCCCUUUACUGAAAUGCAAUACUGUACAGCCUUUCUGAAAUUACAUGUAUAGGGCAGUUUUGUUUAUUUCACUAUUAAGCUAUUGACAUUUCAUUGUGCUUUUUAGCUUCUGAUAAACGUCUGACUUGAAAAGAAUGUCAAGCCGAGGGCACAGCUGCCUCUACAAUCAGAAGCCAUAAGGAAGAAUCUUUCCAACCGGGAUGCCACUGAUGAGGCGGUCCAGAACCAGGUCCCCAGGUACCAGAAAGGGGCAGCUGACCGUGCAGGUGGGAGAUGUCGCGGCGGUACAAGGGACCUGUCGUGAAUAUGAAUGACAUCUCCAGCACAACUAAUAUUGCUGCUAAGCUGCAGUACUGUAUUUCUUUUUUUUUUCUUUUUUACUGCUGCUAUGUACAGUGUUAUAUAUAUGAUUGCAUUAUCCUCUUAAUAUAUUUAUAGCUCUGUGUGAACUUUCUUAAUUCUGACUGUAGUUGUAGUGUUAUGCCACCAUUCAUAAUCUUAAUGCCCUGAUGUAUCUGAUAUUCAAUAACUAUUGUUUGCUGCUAGGUCAUACUUAUGUAUAUUACUGCCAUUCUGGCCCUUGUUUAUUUUGUAUUGUAUUAUGUUUAUUUUGUACUUCCACAUUAAAAUACUGUAUAUUUACUAUCUGUUACUGGACACGUUUUCUUGCACUAUCUGAUUUUGUAAAAUGUUUUUUUCAAUUCAUUUGCACAUGUUUAUUUUGUAUUCUUGCUGUAUAAUGCAUGUUUUUUUUUGUAUGCAUCUUGCACUAUUUGAAAUAAAUUGUUUAGAUUUUAUUCAGUUCAUUGUCAUUUGUGAU
ensembl:lncRNA